CCUACGGGAGGCUGCAGUGAGGAAUAUUGGUCAAUGGACGCAAGUCUGAACCAGCCAAGUAGCGUGCAGGAUGACGGCCCUCCGGGUUGUAAACUGCUUUUAGUUGGGAAUAAAACGUUCCACGUGUGGGAUUUUGUAUGUACCAUAUGAAUAAGGAUCGGCUAACUCCGUGCCAGCAGCCGCGGUAAUACGGAGGAUCCGAGCGUUAUCCGGAUUUAUUGGGUUUAAAGGGAGCGUAGGUGGAUUGUUAAGUCAGUUGUGAAAGUUUGCGGCUCAACCGUAAAAUUGCAGUUGAAACUGGCAGUCUUGAGUACAGUAGAGGUGGGCGGAAUUCGUGGUGUAGCGGUGAAAUGCUUAGAUAUCACGCAGAACUCCGAUUGCGAAGGCAGCAUACCGGCGCUCAACUGACGCUGAGGCACGAAAGCGUGGGGAUCGAACAGGAUUAGAUACCCGUGUAGUC
rnacentral:rRNA from 1 species